AUGUCGCACUACAAGAGGAUUGAGCCUGCUUUGCUGACUUUUGAGAGUAGAUCUUAUGCUGUUAUUUUUAAGCAUGAAGCCCAUUACUCCAAGUUCUAUGGUUCUGCCUGGUUCGAACUUACCCAUGACUAUGCUCUUUGUGCUGGAGAUCGUGUGGUCUUCACUCUGGACCACUCUGUGUUUGAUCUGAAAGUAGAGACUUACCAUGCUGGGCAUAGGAUUCUUCCUUCUCCUUGUUGUGGUAUGUUUUUGAUAUAUAGUUUUUUACUGCAAUAUUGUCAUAGAUUUUUACUAGAUUGUGGUUUUGAAGGAAAUAUGCCCUAG
rnacentral:rRNA from 1 species